rnacentral:rRNA from 1 species
GGUGGAUGCCUGGGCACCAGGAGCCGAUGAAGGACGUAGGAGGCUGCGAUAAGCCUCGGGGAGCUGUCAACCGAGCGUUGAUCCGAGGAUUUCCGAAUGGGGGAACCCCGCACCAGUCAUGUGGUGUGACCCGCGCCUGAACACAUAGGGCGUGUGGAGGGAACGUGGGGAAGUGAAACAUCUCAGUACCCACAGGAAGAGAAAACAACAGUGAUUCCGAGAGUAGUGGCGAGCGAAAUCGGAUGAGGCCAAACCUACUUCGUGUGAUAGCCGGCAGGCGUUGCGGAGUAGGGGUUGUGGGGUCGUCCAGCUGGUUCUGCCGAACCGGCGCAGAGUAAGAAACCAUCGUUGAAGUCGAAGCGGACUGGAAAGUCCUGGCGUAGAGGGUGAUA